GUGACCAAGUGGUUACUAAAAAAGACUGGACAUACCCCAUUUGCAAUACCUUGGGUUGUCUUCUUUUGCAAAUGGUAUGCCAUCAUGGGGGUAAUUCUCAUUCCUGGGCUACCAUACGCUCUCAAAGGCAACGUAACCAACCUGGCCAUUUUCAAUGUAAAAAUAUUUGACCCAUAUAUUUGACCUUGUAACUUUCAAAAAUGCUAUAAGACCUGUACAUGGGGGGUACUGUUUUACUCGGGAGACAUCGCUGAACACAAAUAUUAGUGUUUAAAAACUGGAAAACGUAU